rnacentral:lncRNA from 1 species
AUUUUUAAAUUAUGUCAUUGUGCUUCUUUCUAUACUAAUUGGAUAUAUGCAUUCAUAUGUUGGACAAAGAGAAAAGAAUAAGCUCAGAUAUUUUAUUUCUAUCAAUGUGAAGUUCAUAUUUUGCCUUUCUCAGAGGAAAUAGUGAAUUCCUCAUUUUUCCUUAAAGUUAGAUUUGAUUGAAACUUUUCUUAGAGGAUGACUUUGCUAUUUCUAUUUAAAAAAACAGCACUUCUUUUUAGAGUAACAUCCCUAAUUGUGCGUAGCAGCUAAGGCCAGUAUCCGCCUGUGGAUAAAUGUAUGUUUUCUUUCCCUGAUGAUUCAGCAGCUUAGAAUAUGAUGGAGUCCUGCUGCCCUUCUAUUCUUCACUGUCAGAGGGAAAAAAAAAAAGUUUAGCAUCCUUCUGAAGUUGUCCCCCAGAUAGGAUUUUUUUUUUUUU